GAUGUUGUGUAUAUCGAUGCCACAGGAAGCAUUAUACAGAAAGUACAAGGAGAAUCAGCACCCAUAUAUGUGUACGAGUUGAUGGUGAGACAUCCUAUUAAAGGCCGCUCUCCCAUCCCUGUAGCAACUUAUGUAACCUGCCACCACACCACUGCAUCUGUACUAUUUUUUCUGGAAUCAUUUCUACAUAAUCAUGUAACUGAUUAUUACAAGUUGUUUGGGAAAAAAUCAGUGCGGAGACCAGUAAGGUAAUGUGUGAUGGGUCCCUUGUGCUAAUGCAGUCUAUUGCAUACACUUUCUGCAAACUUCCUUUGGAGAGAUUGAUCUGCAUGUACUAUGACAUCAUCACUGGAUAUUUUCACUGGAUGGUUCAAAGAUAUCAGGAAGAUGCCAAUUCUUCAUCGCUGCCUAAGCCACAUUAUGAAGAAUGCGAAAGUGUUCUGCAAGAAACAGUGAUCUUGGCCGCCAUGGAAAAGGACCAGCCUACAAAUGUCUGUCCAACAACUUUAUGCGCUGCAGAGACUUAUCUACACAGAACUACACAGAGGACAACAAAACACAGGGUGUGAUGGAGAAAAGUCAGUGGGAUCUGAAGAAAAUACCAUUCCAGAGACGCCGUUUUACAAGACUUGAUGACUUUGUUCACAUUUAUCAGCACACCCAUAAUGCUCUAUUAAUGGAGUUCUCUGACUCUGUACACAAGAAAAAGACACACAGGGUACAUGUCGAGCGCUGGAAACAAAGAAAGCCUCGCAGGAAAGCAAUUUAUGUGUCACCACUUAAAAAGGGUUUCCCAUUCAAGACAACCAAAAAGGUACUGUAUUAACAUACAACUUAUUGCAAUCAGAGUUGGACAGUACUGAAAUAGUUUUAAAUGUAAAAAUAAUCUGUACUUUACCAGUGUUUUUCUUUGGAAAACAUUUACUUCACUACAUUCAAAAGCAUAAUGUUGUCAUUUUUGCUGCAUUACAUUUCAAAUACAGGUAUGUGCCA